rnacentral:rRNA from 1 species
UACGAAGGGGGCUAGCGUUGCUCGGAAUUACUGGGCGUAAAGCGUGCGCAGGCGGUUUUGUAAGCCCGAUGUGAAAGCCCCGGGCUCAACCUGGGAAUGGCAUUUGGGACUGCAAGGCUUGAGUGCGGCAGAGGAGACUGGAAUUCCUGGUGUAGCAGUGAAAUGCGUAGAUAUCAGGAGGAAUACCGAUGGCGAAGGCAGGUCUCUGGGCUGACACUGACGCUCAUGCACGAAAGCGUGGGGAGCAAACAGG